AACGAACGCUGGCGGCAUGCCUAACACAUGCAAGUCGAACGAGACCUUCGGGUCUAGUGGCGCACGGGUGCGUAACGCGUGGGAACCUGCCCUUAGGUUCGGAAUAACUCCCCGAAAGGGGUGCUAAUACCGGAUAAUGUCUUCGGACCAAAGAUUUAUCGCCUUUGGAUGGGCCCGCGUUGGAUGAGCUAGUUGGUAGGGUAAAAGCCUACCAAGGCGACGAUCCAUAGCUGGUCUGAGAGGAUGAUCAGCCACACUGGGACUGAGACACGGCGCAGACGGCGAAGGGAGGCAGCAGCAGGGAAUAGUGGGAAAGGGGGGAAAGCCUGCUGCAGUGAUGCAGAGGGUGGGAAGAAGGGCUUCGGAUUGUCAAGAAGAGAAAGUGGGGAGGAAGGGCAGUAAGUUAAGAACUUGCUGGUUGGACGUUACCAACAGAAUAAGAACAGGAUAACUUCGUG
rnacentral:rRNA from 1 species